GAUGAACGCUGGCGGCGUGCCUAAUACAUGCAAGUCGAGCGAACAGAUGAGGAGCUUGCUCCUCUGACGUUAGCGGCGGACGGGUGAGUAACACGUGGAUAACCUACCUAUAAGACUGGGAUAACUUCGGGAAACCGGAGCUAAUACCGGAUAAUAUAUUGAACCGCAUGGUUCAAUAGUGAAAGACGGUUUUGCUGUCACUUAUAGAUGGAUCCGCGCCGCAUUAGCUAGUUGGUAAGGUAACGGCUUACCAAGGCAACGAUGCGUAGCCGACCUGAGAGGGUGAGCGCCCCCCCGGGAAAAGACACGCGGUCCAGCCCCGCAGGGGGGGCGGAAGGGGGAAUUCUUCAAAAAGGGGCAAAGGCCGGAGGGAUCACCGCGGGGGGAGUGAUAAAGUUCUUCGAUUCGAAAACCUUUUUUAUUGGGAAAAAAAAAAUGGGAAAGUAACUAUCCCCGUUUGAGCGGUCCCUAAUAAGAAAACCACGCCAAACACGGGC
rnacentral:rRNA from 1 species